UCACUUCGUGUCUAGUUAAUAUGACUUUUAAUUUGUUUCCCUCAUCCAUUCUUCACACUGCUUAAGCUGGAGGCUUAAUAUUUCAUUUUGUAAGUACAGCAGGAGAUGCAGAAGAGAUGAGCUCUCUUGGGCUGGUAUCUUGCCUAUCCACGCAAUUUUUAUUGCUUUUUAAACAGGCUAUUGAGGAGCAGAUUCCAAGCACAGGGCCCUCCUGCCUGGAAACAAAGCAUGCUGCUGAUCUCUUUCAGUCAGGUGUGUGAGCAAAAUGUUGAUGAGGGUGACAGGUUGCCUGAAGCUGAUAGCUCAGUGUUACUGUGAGGUAGUAAUGAUCAGCCAGCAGUAUCCGCUGGGUUGGUUUGGCAGGACUUCCAGGUGUGCUUGGUAGGGCUGUUUGUCAUUCUUGAUGGCGCUGUUGGUGUACUCCUUCUGUACCUAUUCCUUUGCUACUUAUCUCACAGUACAAACUCUCAGCAGGCAAGAGCCAGCAUCCUCAUUAAACUAUCAGGUAGUGCUCUCUACUGCUGCUAGGCAUCAUCCACUUCUGUUGAAUAAUUAAUCUGUGAGGAAGAAGUUAGUAAGAGCAAUUUGUACCAAACUGACCAACUCCCUGAGUGUACUCUGAAACAAAGAAAAUACACAAGCAGACACAAACUGAACAUUAAAAAAGGCAGCCACAGGAUUUGCCAGUUUUUGAGAGCCUACAAAAAUGGGAUAUCAGCUCAAGCAUCAGCCACAGCAAUAAAAGCCAUUUAACUUGGAAGACUUUUAACUUCAUCCGCUCCAAGAACUCCACAAGAUUCUCUGCACCUUCUGGCUCAUUCUACAGAGCUGAAACCUCUGGACCAUAGCAACGAGGAGCAGGAGAUUCUUCUGGAGGAAGAAGCAGAGUGCACUGCAUUGAGCAGAUCCACAGCCUGCCUAGCAGGAAGAGGAGAAGGAGCCCAGUGACAGGCGGCCUCCUAGGACCUGCAAGUGCUCCCCAGCAGCUGCAAGCCCAUCACAGGCUAUCUACAAGAGACACAAAUACAGGUCCCUGGUGCUUGGUGGAUGAAAAAGAGAAAAAAUAACACUUAGGGGACUAUUUUUUUUUCCCACAUGGUGUAAAUAUAGGGUUAAGGAAGAUGACAUGUCUAUCUGCCAUGGAUUGUCAAAGCCCAGGAAGAAACAGAAAACAAAAAGCCCAAUGAAAUAAGGAAUACCAAAAGGAAGAAAACAAGUGAUGGUAGAAACACAGUGACCACAAUGAAUCACCACAUUUCCAACUGUGAUAGAGACUAUUUGCAGUCUACACACAAAGCUCCUCACAAACAGUGACCUCUACUCGUGGAAAAUAUCAAACCAGAGCAUUUCACCCACCUGACUCAUGCUUCAUUGCUUCAGCACCAGCUUCCCACUGCUGCUUCCCCCCUGGCGCUCACACAAUCCUCACUGCCAGUGACUGCCUGAGCUAAACCACUUGAACUCACAGCUGCCAGCUCUGGGCCCCUCAGUCAUCACCCAGCCACAUCCUUAUGACGGUCUGCAAAGUCCUCACCUGCAGCUCCUGUCACUCCCCUGUACAGGCAGCAGUAACAGCUGAGAACCAAGUUGGCCAAAGGGAUUCAAAGCCAUGUUCUCAUCCCACUUCCAACGCUGCUGUAAACUUGUCAGUACAGUAUUCCUGGACUGGCUGUUUCAGAUGUGAUCUGGAAUUCAAUGUUCUUUCUGCCUUCCUUGCCCUGGGCUACUUUGAGGGCAGCUAGUGCCACCAAUUAGUCUCCUGGUGGGAAGGUCACUAUGGAGCCAGGGUCUAAAGUGUCCUGUUAUUUCAGAGACUGGCUUUUUGGUGGCUGUAAGAGAAGGGAUUCAAGAUGCUAAGCCUGUCUCUGCAUAUUUUUGACAUCUUACUAAAUUGCCAGCUUGACAGAGGAGAAAAGUCAUUUAUAUAACAUUAUGCUAACAUAAUGCAUUUCUUAGUGUUGCUGGUAAGCCCUCCAUACUAAGUGAGCCUUUUAACAUCAGUGUCAUGAAGAGUAUGCACAUUUCCUUUGGCAAUAAAACAGCAUUGUUUUAUUGCUUUUCACUAGUUUACAACACAACUUUUCACUAGUUUCACUCGUUUACUGAGAAAUAGUAUACUGAGAAAGCUUGAAUAAUUCUCAGUAGUUCCAGAAAUGACAGGACAGCAGUUACUUUGAGGAAAUAUUCUCCAUGCUUUUUACUAUCCCUGAUUAAAACAACAUGAUGGAUCAUUGUCAUCACCAGGAGAAAAAGGUUGGAACUUAAAUGUAGGUUAACUUUUGCAGUAAUCUAUGGCAGAUUGGAUGGCCAAGACACUUGAGUGAUUUGCUUUGUGCCUAUUUAUUGCCAUCAGGCUGCUGAGCAUGGGCCACAGGUUGCACAGGGGAACACUUCAGCAGUUCCUGGCAAUUCCACUGAUACUUUUGAACUUCCUAGAUGCAUGGUCACUGCAUGUACAUUAAAAAUCUCCAUAGGAAUUGAGACAUAGGUGUAAUCCCAGCAAUUCCAGUGUAACACUACUGGAAUUUUCUAGAGACUAGGAAUUACAGAGUGGGUUGUAACAAGCUGAGGUAUUUCUUUUACUCAGUCUUGUUCCAACAAGAUCACUAAUCUUGGGUAUGCUAAACAUUUUGCCUUGGGAAAAAGGGACAGCACAGGAACGCAAAUCAGAAUAUAUCUGGGCUUGCUGCUUUCUCCAUCCUCCUCCUCUCUAAAUAAAAGUAAAAUGUUAUUCAUUAAAAAUUUGUCCUACUUCAGCAUGGUCAUUGCUAAAGCAGUAACAUGCUUCGCUGGCUGCUCCCACCCUUUUCCCACAACAGGGGCAGUUGCUUUUCAACAAGCUACUCGGGACAAAAGAAGAAAGCACUUUUGGAUAGCAGUGAUUGUGUCUCAGUUAAAACAGGAUAAUUUUGAGACUUACAAAAUGUUGGCUUAUAUAAAGCUAUUUCAGAUGCUAAAAGUCAUUCAUAGAUUUGGGAAAAUCUAUGUAAUGCAAUUUUGGAGCUAGACCUGAGCACAGAAAAAUAUGGUUGCAGUAAUCAGUCUUCACUGAGAUGCUCCUAAGCUGUUUUGUUUUUCUUUAAUUUGUGUAUUACUAUAAUGAGCAAAGAAGAAAAAUCUCAACACCUUAAACACCAAUCUGAGUUUUCACAUGGGAAAACAGAGGCUUUCUCUUCUGUUUUACAUUCAAGCUAACCAAAGACAUAAGGAAAUCUAUAUACCCUGUGGCAUCUCCAAAUGAAGUUUUGCUAUUGUUUUUUCACAUUGGUAUUUUCCUAUCUGCCCAAAUCCCUUAGUUGAACAAAUCAGCUCAGUGCAUUAAGCAUGGUGCUAAUAACACCAAGGUUGUGGGUUUGGUCCCUGUACAGGCCAUUCACUAAAGAGUUGGACUUUUUCAUCCUUUUGUGUCUGUUUCAACUCAGAACAUUCUGUGGUUGAGAAACUCAUGAGCAUCCGUUUGGCCAUGUGAACCAUCUUUCUGACAAGCAGCUGAAUAGAUUUGUUACUUCUCAAGUUUCCAAGUUCAUUUUUAAAACUGGCAGCAAAGUAUGUAAAUGGAAUGUGUCUAGAAAGAACACACUUUACCCAAAAUCAUGUUUUGGAUUUUUUUCUUCCAGUAAAGCUAUUUUUGACAUAUGUAGCUCCGUGUCUGGAAGUAAAUGCUGUCACUUCCUCUGAGAGUUUUUUCUUUGUGAUUUAAGUAUGACAUGCUCAGUAGCAAUCGGCUCCAAAAUAACUACAGUACAGGUAUUUGUCUGAGAUUGCUGGCAUCAUUAAAAGUGUGUUGUUUUAAGGGUGUCUGUAGUUUGUGUGGUAGUAAUUGGCUUGCUAGAGAAAUCCAUGUAGAGACCAGGACAUCCAAUUAGGCGUACAGUUUUCAGUGUCAGUUCUUGACCUGGGUCUUAAAACUCAACUGGAAAAACCAAAAGUUAAUUCUCGCUAAGCAAGAAUCCCUGCUUAGCCUCUGUAGCAAAUCUGAUCCUUAGACAUAGCAAAACAAAUUAGGUACUAGAGAAGAGCAAACAAGCAGCUUGUCUUGACUUUUCUGUUUUAGUUGAAAUGAUGCAAGAAGUGGGAAGUGCCAUCUGCUUUAGAUUCAUGUAAUACUCUCUGGCUCUGUUGUCUGUGUUAUUAAUUUUGUACCAUUCUUCAUAAUAAGUUUGUAAGGUUGGCCAAGGUUAAGUUCUAAUUGCAUCAGCAAUUGCUUGACUCAUGGCUCAGUGACACAUGCCUGUAUGUUUGUCAGUGAAUCUCAGCUUGCUAAAUCCUUCUUUGUGAGGACAGAAACAUUCAUGGACAUCAGGGACAGUGAUUGUGUGCUUUCACUGACAUAUGAAACAGUUGACUAUUUUGAAAAUAAUGUUUUAAGUUCAACCAUUACAUAUUUAAAACCAAAAUCACAUUAAAAAAUGCAGUUAAACUUUUUUUGAUGGGGAGAGGAAAAAGAAAAUCUUUCAUGAGUACAGAGCUCAGUGCUGAUAUCCCUAGAAACCUUAAAAAUGUGGUGCUAUGAGUUAUAAUGGCAUAAGUGCCUUGAGAGUGCCCUGCCAAUAAACUAUGACUCUUUUCUUAAAAGUGAGAGUAGUUCAGCCUCUGACCCUCUGAUUCUGUGAAUUUUUCUGUAAUAGUAAAUCAACCAAAAAAACUACCCACAAUGGCCUUUAGAGACAAAAAGGUUACUGAUUCCACAAGGACUUACCAUGCAAAAAACCCUUCAUAGCUGACAGUUUUCAAAACACCAAGUGAAGAUUGGCACAUGGCUAAUCAUGCAAAAAUUCAAAGAGGCUGUGCUUGAUGUUUGAACUGCAACAAGCACCUGAGCACUUAAGGGACUAAACUGCCUUCUUACAACUGAAGAAAAGUUGGAGUCCUGGCUUAAAAUUCUUCCCUAAACCUCUUCAAAGGAAACAAGGCUGGGAGUGUGUCAGGAAGAUGGCUAAGCAACUUGGGAUUCACUGAGUCAAUUUGGAGACUGAGUCUAACAGUUAUAGUUCAGGUGAAAGACAUAUAUAUAGGGAACAGCAUAGGGAAAGGAGGAGUUUUAAACAUUUUUAGCAGCUUUUGGGCAGUCCUGGUUAUCUGAAAUGAGGCUUGUGUUUGUUCACAGUGCUGUCAUACCACCUUCUUUUAUUUUACUAUCUUGUUUACACUGUCUUAUUUGAACUCAAAUAGUAUUUUCGGUUCUGUUAAUCAUUUAACUGCUGUAUCUCUAAGCCAUCACAAAACAAUGACAACCUAAACUCCUCUUUAAUUGCUUCCAAAUAUUGUUUACAAGUUAUGAAAGGCAGUUUUAGGCUAAGAGGAUUGAAUUUGAUGACUAGUGUUAGCAUUUGUCAAUCAAGUUAUGAGACCUGCAUGCAUGAAAAGGAUCUCUCCUGAAAUACUCUAUAUGAAGAUUUGUACUAAGGUAAUAGGGUUGUUAUAAAUGGAAAAUUAGAUAGAUGUUAUCAUUUGAAAUAGUUAACUUAGAAAAUACACAGGUAGGAGAGAAGUGAAAUAAGGCUCCCCAGACACAAAUAAUUCUGCCAUUAUUUGCCUUGGGGGAGAUUGGCCUUACAGCCUAAUAAUUCUUUUAACAAUUAUUGCAAGUGUAUAGAGGAAAUCAAGUAAUGAUGUGCAGGUCUAGAA